GAAAACUUAGUUAAUAAAUAACGUCAGAUUGUCAAACUGAAAUAAUUAAUCAUAAUAGUUUUUU
rnacentral:tRNA from 1 species